ensembl:snRNA U6 U6 spliceosomal RNA
GUGCUUGCCUAGGCAGCACGUGUGCUAAAAUUGGAAUGCUCCAGAGAAGAUUCAGCCUGGCCCCUGCACAUGGACGACUCGCGGAUUCCUGACAUGUGCUCCAAGGCA